rnacentral:sRNA from 1 species
UACAUGAAUUUGUGCGGCUACAAAUUUAUUUCAUUGAUCUUGCACUUGCCAAGAGCCCCCUCGCGUUGCUUCCAGUAUCACGGGCCUGUUACCGAUUUUAUCUUCUGCCAUCAAGAGCUUCUCCAAGCCCAGACACCAUGACUAGCAGAUAUACAAUCACUCCACCAGUCACUGCAAUCCCUUCGUCUGGCCGCCAGGCACAAUUAGCGUCAUUUUUUAGCGUGUACAUUAGCGUAUUAAAAACACAAAAUCUACUGGAUUAUAUGAGAGAUUGGCUGUAUUGGCAUGUUUUUAUGUAAUAUAUGUAAUUUAUUUGAUCUAGCCCUAAUUAAGAUAUAGAAUGGAACUCCUGCCAACACUGACUCUUCAAACAGAGGGGAAUAUUAUUACAUACAGCGCAACCAGAUCUUGUUCUUGGAGUUCUAUCUUUAUUCCCUUCUGUUCUCUUUCUUUUGUACUGACACCAAGCACAAGUUUGAGUGGAUGACAGAGAAAUCCGAUGAUGAUUCAGAUCUGGAUUUAAUCGAAUGGAAGGUAGUGACCAUGAGAAAGGGUAGUAGCGCA